AGGACUGUGGAGUAUAGCUUGUGUGGACAGCCUGAUUAAAACUCUUAUUAAAUACAAGAGGUAAUUUCAUUGGUGCCAUGGAACUCAGGAGGCUCUCCCGCCCCAAGCUCCUCUUCCGGGGUCGGGAUCUGGAACUGGGCAAUUUUUUCAACAACAACCACGUGUUCCAUUUGCCUGAGCGUGAUUUCUACAUACGCCACCAGCUUCCAUUGAAACUUAUCCUAUGGAUUCAGCUUAGUAUAUCAAAGUGACAAAUCUACCCAAGGCCUUCAUGGUCCAAUGAUCUGUAACAGGAAGACUGAACACAGGCCUGGUGCCCAUCACCAAGCAGUUGGUAAACUAUAGUUUGUUGAAUUGUACCCAUACAAAGGAAUUAAGUGCAGGGCGUGCUCAGUGAGUGAAAGACCAGCUGCCUGACCACCUGAGUCCAAUAUCCAGAACCGACGUAAAAGUGCAUCUAAUCUCAGCGUUCCCUAUGGCAGGAUGGGAGGCAGAGGCAGGAGGAACUUGGGGAAACUCUGGCUUGAAUGUUAGAAGGCCAGCUAGCCUUAAGUUUGCAGCUCAGCAGAAUUAUGCAAUUAGAAGAGAGACUCUUGCUUCAA